ACUUAAGAAAAUAAAACAAAGAAUAACCUAGAAGAUUAGUCCAAUAACCUUAAACCCACUUCUAAAAUCUAUUCAAAUAAAACAAGAAAUAUUAACUCUCAAGCAGUAAGCCAUUUAAACAUCGAAUACUAAACCGAAGAGGGCAGAAAUGAGCUAAAGAUUGCUCUAUAUAGUGAGAAAACAAACCCUAACACAUCACAGAGAGGAAGCAUAAAACAACCUACCAUUAUAUCGGACAAUGACUCAGAAGAAUACCUAAGAAACACUUUUAAGCAUUCUUCAAGGUUAAGACAGAAAAAACACAUACGAACUAAGUUAAAAUAGAGAAAAUCAACGCCAAACGAGAACUGUACUAAUGUCACUAAAACAACUCUAUACCGAUUGACAACAAUACAAUAACGCGCAAACUUUCGGAUUACAACACUUGAAAGGCGAAAAGGCUGAACUAUAGGCAUCACACUUGAGAAUAGGAACAAGAAAAAAA
rnacentral:lncRNA from 1 species